UACGUAGGGGGCAAGCGUUGUCCGGAAUCAUUGGGCGUAAAGCGCGUGUAGGCGGUUCGGUAAGUCUGCUGUGAAAGUCCAGGGCUCAACCCUGGGGAUGCCGGUGGAUACUGUCGGACUAGAGUACGGAAGAGGCGAGUGGAAUUCCCGGUGUAGCGGUGAAAUGCGCAGAUAUCGGGAGGAACACCUAUUGCGAAGGCAGCUCGCUGGGACGUUACUGACGCUGAGACGCGAAAGCGUGGGGAGCAAACAGG
rnacentral:rRNA from 1 species